GGACCUGGGCUUAGGGUUGCAUCAGUCGUCUCCUAGCUUUUGGUUUUGCUCUGCUGUUGUUUUUAAGUCUUCUUUUCUCUCACGUGCGUUUCUUCCGGAGUCGUGAUUGGCGCUGUAGUGUUGGAUGAGCUUUUUUAUGUAGCACAUUCACGAGCAGAACCCAACCGGUUUUGCAUAGCAAACAAAAUCAUGCUUUUCCCUAGAGGCUGCUGGUGGGGUUUGCAGACACUGAUGGGGCCUCCUUCGUGUUCAGCAGUAUACGAAGCUUUCUUUCAAAUACCUGGUAACACUCUGGAGAGAAUGAAACGUUAACGUUUGUAUUCUGUUCUGACGUCGUGCACUGAAUCAGGAAUAUUCAGGCAAUUCUGUAUACCCGCGUAAAUAGCCAACAACCAUUGUAUUUAAGAUUAAGGAGAUGUGGUUAAAUUCAGGGAUCCAUGUGCCGAGAACACUGCCAGCUUGACAUUUUAUCUUUGUUUUCCAUAUUCAGUGUGUCAUCAAAGAUGGAUUUUCUCAAAUUCUGAUUCAAAGAUGGAUUUGUCAUUUUCAGGCUGUAAUAUUUUCCUUCUAGAGUUUGAUAUUCACUAUGCAAAAUUCUCCAGAAGUACAAAAGUAGAAGCCAUCAAUUAGGCAAGGUCAUGAUUCUUAGAGAUUUUAAACAAUAGAGAUUUAGAUUGCUAUGAUUAAUGUGAAAGUUGACUGCUCAAAUGAAACAAUCAGUUCUACUGUCUUUGGACAGAAUUUUAAAUACUGAACAUUAGUCAUCAGUCAUGUGAGGAUUUAAACAAGCACUUAGCUUUAUGCAAUUUGAGUGAUUAGUUCUAUUCAACUGAGUAGUACUGUGCAGAGCAUGUAAGAUUUAGCACAUCUCAAACCCCCGAUUGUGCAAAGGCUCAACAUGUGACCUGAGAAGUGUUUGUCUUUUUUUUUUUUUUAAAGCUGUUUUCUUAGAGAUGGUGUUUGUGCAGUCACACAUGGCUAUCAGCCACUCUUUCCCCAUCAUCAGGGGGAGGGGAAUGGUAGCCAGAGUAUUGGCUAAUUUCUGGUAGUUAUCACAGGAGAAUGGAAAUUUGAAAAACAAUUCUGUUUGCACGUAUUUGGUGAAAAUAGGUGACUCAGGCUUAGAAAUAUUUUACUUGCAUAAUGAAAGCGGAUGCAGGGGCUGAGGUAUUAGGAAUCACAAAACCUAUGUUCAGUUGAAAAAUAAAACAUAGUUCCUACUUAACCCCAUUGAAAGAGUUCAGCCAACACUUACGACUGACCCAAAGGUGAGCCAUUAGCAACUGGGGUUUGUUUGGUGUUUGGAAUGCUUUGAAAGGAAGAGAGAACAAAUCUACAUCAGUUCUUUUUGUUGGUGUUAUCUGAGGUCUGCUAAUGAAGAACCAUGUAUUAAUACCUAAAUACACUGCUAGUCAAAUGGCUGCUUAUAUAAAGCUUACUUUUUGUAAGCAUUCUUUCUUAGGUCUUGCAUGAUUUAUCAUCAUUUGAAUAUUAGUCUGCUGUACAUUCUACUUGGAACCAAAAAAAAAACACUAGAAACUAUUUGUAAAGCUUGUAAUAUAGCUACAGAUAUAUAACUUUCUGUUAGAAAAAUAAGGAGUUAACCAGCAUAUAUUGAUAGCAUGGCCUAAGGAAAAGAAAAAAAAAAAGAAAAAAGGUUAAAUACUUUGUGCUGCUUGUUGCCUUUGCUUUCUGGCAUAAUAAUAGGAACCACAAUGCAUUUAGCAAGUAGUUACUGCAGGAAUUAGAUUGUACUGUGGGAAGUGAGAAUUAGAUAAUAAAUAUCACUGUACACUACAGUAGCGAGAAGAAAAGAGCAGAGUGGGGAAAUCAGGCAAGAUACUAUACUUUUGAGAAAAAGCCAAAUGCUACAAUAGCCCUACUUACUAAGCACAGAACAAUUCAAACUAGUAAUGUAUCUAACUUCAAAAAAAAAAAAUAAUAAUAUAGUAAGAACCUUCAAGUAUCAUCUACUGACCUGUUUUCUGUUCCUUUAUACUUCAGAAAUAAUUGCACCUGUGGAAUGUAAGGCACUUGUUUGGCAGCCUCUUUUACCUGACUUUGCACAGGUGUGAAGAGGUACACAGCAUGCAAAAGUUAAUAAUCAGAGCUACAGAAAUUAAAGUGCAUUUGCUGAUAAGCUACUUUUACCAGAAAGUGCAUUUCAAGAGAAGGUCAGAAGGCCUGAACUCAUCUUGCCAAGGCAUUUUUAUUGUUUCCUAAUGGAAGAAAAAUAUUUCAGUUUGGCUACAGUCUCAGUCCUUGAUUUCACAGUGAUUCUGCAUUGUACUAACAGAUGAUAUCUUGUAUAUUUUAUACCAACCAGUAUCCUUCUGCUACUAAAUCUCUUACAUGGAAGAGUUUAGUGAGGCUUUAAGGAACUGAAAAUCUCUUGAUGGCUGACCUCCUCUACUGCUGCUUCAGUCUCACUGUAGGCUGUAGCAUAAGAUGUUGCUGAGACCUGCUGUUGUCCCACGGCCCUCACGCGCUUCUUCAGUACCUGCACGGUAGGGGAAUACAUCUUGUCUCCAGUUGUUUCUUCGCCUGUUUCCUUCACACAGGUAGGUUAAUAUGGCUCCACUGGGAAGAGAAAAGGAAGACUGGCAAGAAGUGGGCAAAGAUGGAGCCGGCAGAGCCAGUGAGCUGGCCUGACCAGAGAGCAGCAUCACGUCUGUUUGUUAGCAGAGCUUGUAGAAAACUGCAAUGCGCAACCUGGGUGUCAAUCCACUGACCCAUCUACUGAUGCCAUGAGGUUGAGUAGUGCAGCUCAAAGAUUUCAAAUUCAGACAGAUUAGUUACUUUCAUGUUAAUGGAGAUUUUGUUUGCUUUCUUUGUGCGGGAAUCAAAUCAACUGAAAAUUUUAGCAUUUUGCAUUUUUAAUGACAUUUUAUGUCAUUUCAAGUAGCAAGCGAACUGGACUUCAAUGUGAAAUCGCGAUGUUCAUUCUCCACUUGGACCUUGUUAUCUUGUAAGUCAAAUUCACAUGUAAGUUCAAAAGGUAAACGUUCCAGGAGAGCAUUAUUUUAGCUUCUAAUUAACACAGAAGUCUGUAGCUACCAAGAGUGUAAGUCAACAAAGAGUGAAGGUCAAGAUGCUAACAAGUCCAGCUGUACUGUGAUUCUAAGUUUUCCCCUAUCUAAAGGAAAGACAACGUUCCUGAAAAAUGAUGUGGGAAUUAGUGUGAUUAUCUUCCCCGUGUAAUAUCUGAAACAUUAAUAGAAAGGUGAGAGCUAUAGCACAAUAAGAUCAGUUUUAUCUAAUGUAUGCUAUCAUAUAUAAUAAAAUUGUAAAAGUCAGGAAGAGUUUAGGGAAAAUACAAAAAAAAAAUUCUUCUACAUAGCCCAUAAUAAUAUUAAAAAUCCAUGAUUUCUAUGCAAAUGUCCCAUUUUACAGUUGAAUUGUAUAUUGUAGAAUUAUUUUUAGCAGAAUGGAUAAUUUUAACUAGGGGAAAGAUUUGGUCAUGCAUGAUAAGUACUGAAAUAAACAAAGCAUAUUCCCUGCAGUUUUUACUUCAGACAGCAAAAUCAUUACUGUAAGCUUCAGAAGGCUUUUGUCUUGUACAGUUUUAUGCAUUUUGAAGAUCAGUGGGAUCCUUCACUGAGAAAUAUGAAAUAUAUCAGGAAAGAAGGUAACUAAAAGGUCUGGAGUAGCAGAAUACAGUUCUCAUAUUAUAUUUUGCAACUAAUGCAUGUUUGACUAGCUAAUGGAUCCCAUUAUUUCUCAUGCUUGCUUUUCACAGAUCAUGUUCAUCGUGUUCAGCAGCUGAAGAGUUUUCUAAACUCAAUUAGUGCAAGAAUGCUGUGACCAAUGGAAAAAUGUUUGAUGCUUGCCAGAAAGCAAACCUCCCCAGCUCUUGAAAAUAACGUUCUGAAAACAAAUCUGUUUGUUGUUUCAACUGAGACAUUUUCCAUUGCUUGUGGUAAGGGAGCAGAUAAGACAGAAACAUCGCAGCUCGUGAACUGUUGUAUACUUACUGAUCUGUGGAGAACAGAUAUUUUCUCCAGAAACGGGAGCAGUUGAACUCUGAAGGAGAAUGAACCCUUUUGGCAAGGAUUUGUGAGGGCUCUGGGUGGAAAAUCUUCUUUUAUGAAGCCAGAGCAAACAGAAGUGUAGUGACUGUUCAGCUUGUCUCAUUAGAGGAAAAUAAUUAUGCAUUUUAUUCACAUAGAGCACACUGCUGUGUUAUCUGGACACUGCACGCUGCCAGGAAUUUUGAAAUUGUCAAACCAGAGUCCCUGCUUGGUGGACAACUGACAGAGUGAUGGUUACCUGUUAUCAGCUGUAGCUAUUGAGCUGAGACAGUUCCGUUCUUGUUGUCUUAUCACAUGUUAAUAGCUGAUGCAUUUUAAGUCAUCUCUCCACUCAGUGUUAAUGCCUUGUUCAGGGAAGGCAGUAAAGAAGUCUCAGGAUCUGGUAUCUCCAAGUGUCUCUUUUGUAUUUCUUUUCUGUUCCCAAGGGAAUCCAGCCUGUAAUAUCUACCCACUUGUAGAACUACAAGCAGUUCACAGAAACACAAACACAUGCAGUAUUACAACACACGUAUUAAAAUGACAUUUUUUUACAAGAUCAAAAACAAAUAGAAAAAAUAAAAGUGCUGUGGGAAAGCACUUACCAAAUAAAAAUGUCUUUAGAGGCCUGAUUGCAUGUGGGUCUGUGAAUAACACUCAGGAGACUAUAAACUUUAGACAAACCAGAUGGUUAGACAGCAAUCCAGAUGGUUUUAUUUAUGCAGACAAAGUUCACAUUUAGGGAGGGGCUUUGUUCCUCUAGAGAAGGUUUCACACACAAAGUAGAAUUAUAUAUAUGGCGUAUGGUGAUAGACUGGAACAUUCAUAAAAAUUUAAGUCUCAUUGAGUAGUCUGUUGUCCUUUCAAUACAGAUUAUCAUCAUAAUUACAUAACUGGCGUGCUUGUUGGCUGCUCUUGUACAUGAUGUUGCUUCUUUCUACUGCAUUAGUAUCCAAGGGUUUUAGUGAGGAUUAUGAGCAGUUUAUUUGUUAUGUGUUAUAAAGUUGUUUUGGAAGAUACAGACCCUUGUUUAGAACAGUUGAGAGUCUAAGGGCAAUGAAAACACAGAAAUUGACCAGCUGUAAAGGAAAGUAGAAGGGAGUUAAUUGGAUAUUACUGAAAGAAUCUGGUUAGUAUCAGCUAGGAAAUCUCUCUCCUUUUUGGUAUCGGAGAAAGAGAUAGAAAAAUAGCCUUGACGCUUACCAAAGUGACCUUCUAAUCCUGUAGCUUUAGUUUUACCUUAAGCCCAGAUAGUACAUUUAUCUUAACCAUAAAGUCUGGGCAUACCUACUUUUCACACUCUUCUAUGCGCAUAAAAUGGUGAUUUUAUACAGCACAUGCCAUUCUCUGAUAAAAUGGCAAACAGGAGUUAGCUUCCAGAUUAUUUCAAUACAAAGUGAAGAUCUUGGCUUAAAAAUCUAAAGUUAGCUCUACUACUCAGGCAGUAGCCUCCCAUAACACAGAAAUCUGGUGAUCCAUAAUAUCUCAUCAAGCUCUUUUUUGAAUGUCUAGUCUAUCUAUUAUAUCUAAUUUUACUGGAGUUUUUGGACCACUUUUUUCUUUUUUUUCUUUCUGAUUAUAUUACCUAUUGCUUCUUAUUGGUGUUUGGAAAAAGCAUUUCUGGCAGGUGUAUUUCCACAGUCACAUGUUGGUGCGGCAUGCAGUGACAUGUAUUGUGGUUAGCAGAUUAAGAAGCAAGAAGUUGCUUUUGUGAUUUCCUUAACGGACUUGAAAAAUAACAGAUGCCAGAGCUUUUGUUUUUGUUUUGUUCCAUAUGACCUAAAUUGUCUUUAUAUCUCUUCAAUAGAGAUGUGAUCUCUUUUCCGAUUAAACAUAUUCUGUCCAAUUUUAAUUUUGCUGAAAUUUCAUUUUGUCCAUAUUCUUGUUCAGCUAUUGACAUUAUAAAAGUGUUCUUUAAGGGUUAUAAUUCUUCUCAGUAGAGUUGUGGAGAUUCAGAAAAUAAGAGCAGGUUUCUUUUUUACUAGUAGCAAAGGCAUCAAGCUCAUAUAAACAUUACAAAGACUACCUCAUAGUUUUAUUGGAAUGUAUUAUCUUUCCAAAAUAAAUAUCAUAGGAAUGAUAGCAUCAGCAUUGUGUUUGUAAGUCACAGCAGAAAGAAAAUUUAUUUUGAUGAUACCAAGCUGGGAGGUGCUGUUGAGUCUCUGAAAAAAAAAAACAGACUUUGAAAGUGGACCAAGAUACAUCGGCAGGUGUAUGAAGCACUUAGCAACAAAGAUACAGAGCAAUUAGCAAUAAUUCUCACAUCCUAAUCGUCACUGCACGUGGUCUAACACAGUAUAGGUACUGUUGAUGCAAUUUUGUGAAGUCUUGUCAAAUAGAGUUUGGAAAGUAUUUUAAGUAUUGAAAUAAAACUAUGCUGAUUUCAUUUAGUAUAUAAACCAAUAGUUAGUUGUGAAAUAAACCUCAGGUGUCAAAAAUGUUUGUAAUGUUUAUGGCAUUCAGAUGCCUGAUAACUAGAGCAAUACAAUACUCCUGCCUGUAAGUCCACAGACUGGUCGAAAAAUAAUGCCUCCUAUUGGAUUAUAUUAGCCUACAACAUCAGAGGUGGAUGUUGGUGGUACAGCAGUAGAAGUUGAACUUUCCCUCCAAUAUUCCAUUCCAUUUUUUUGCUGUGUGAGAGAUGGCAGCAGAGGAGCAGUCUGACAAAAUGACAUCUGACAUGGAAAAUCAUGGAAAGCAAAGUUGUGGCAUUGAAUUCCUCUGCAUGGAAAAAAAUGGCACCCACUGACAUUCAUCUACUCUUGCUGAAUGUUUUUGGAGACCAAACAGUGGAUGAGAGCACAGUAGGUGGCGUGUUUCAGCAGGGGUGACAGCAACAUGAAAGACAAGCCAUGUUCUGGAUGGCCAUGCAUAUUUUUAUAAGUACAGCAUAUUCAUUGCUGCUUUUAUUCACUGCUGGCAAAAAUAUAUAGCUAAUGGUAAUUAUGUUAAAAAAUAGAGUCUUAUAACUGAGAAGGUGCACUGCCAACUAGUGUUUUUGUGCUCUUUGUAUCUGUUGCAGUUUGCAUGGAAAUAGUAGGAGGCAUUGCUUUUGGAGCAACCUAUGUAAAUUGGGAGGCUGAGGUCCAUCUACAGCAUUACAUAGAUUCGUAGUCUAUAUCUAAUUGAAAGUUAAUUAGAUUAGAUUUUUUAAGGUAUCUGUGUCUUUUGAAAAUAGGACUUCUGUUCAUUAUCACUGGAAACUUUAUUUUAUAUCCAGUGUACUCCCUGUAUCAAA